CGAAAUCGCACGUACAAGGUGAAAAUUAUUCUUCUUCGAGCGGAAAGUUUUUAUCGCGACACUUUAUGCGCGUGCACGCACGACGGUCAUCGCGAUAAUGGUUUUAUCGCGAUCAACGUCACCCGCCCGGCGGCGUCCGAUAUUACGCAGUCGCGGCUUCGAAUCGAGGCUGAAUAGAACGCCGAUAGAGCAAGCGAGCGUUCUAGAGGCGCUUAGGAGGAUGUACAGGAGGAACGCAUCACACACGGGCGAUCCCAAUUUCCUGAUAUCAUUGAUCGCUCUGUGCGACACGCGAGAGCCUUAAAAAUUAUAAACAACGACUAUAUAUAUCCCCAAGACUACAAAAUAUUGUCAGAAUCUGCGUUCAAAAUCAAGGCAAACGCGAUGGCGGAUUGAAAUUUUCAAAUUAGCCGUUGCAUCUCCGCCAGAGACGCGGAGGGACGCUUUCCUCGCUGAAAGUGAUUACGUAGCGGCUCUUGUAAGUAGCUCUUGUAAGUGCUGCUGCUGCUGCUGCCGCCGCUAUUGCUGCUAAUGACUUCCGUCUAAGUUUGAGAGAAUGUGUGGCCGCACGCCGCACUUUGUGACCCAUAUAUGACCAGGAGCAGAGCAAGAAAAAUAUGUGAAUAAUAAAAGUACAAGAGGAUUAAUAAAAAUUCCGCGUAAAUGAAUUUGUAGCCGUUUAAUAAAAAAAAAAAAAAAAAAAAACACAUACCUGA